GGGCGAUUAGCUCAGUUGGUUAGAGCGCUACGUUGACAUCGUAGAGGCCGGCGGUUCGAAUCCGUCAUCGCCCA
rnacentral:tRNA from 3 species